rnacentral:rRNA from 1 species
UACGGGGGGGGUAAGCGUUGUUCGGAAUUAUUGGGCGUAAAGAGCUCGUAGGCGGCUUGUCACGUCGGAUGUGAAAGCCCGGGGCUUAACCCCGGGUCUGCAUUCGAUACGGGCUAGCUAGAGUGUGGUAGGGGAGAUCGGAAUUCCUGGUGUAGCGGUGAAAUGCGCAGAUAUCAGGAGGAACACCGGUGGCGAAGGCGGAUCUCUGGGCCAUUACUGACGCUGAGGAGCGAAAGCGUGGGGAGCGAACAGG